UUUUCUUUAGGAGAACCACCUGUCCCGCACUCUCUAUCCAGGUGCUGACGAGAACUCUAAUGACAAUUGUGCACGUGACCUGGGUCUGGCCAAUCAGAGCAUUUCAUCCCCGUUGAGUCAGCCAUUAUUUCAGGGACGAAUACUUAAUAGAGCCGUAGGAUCACGCUCAACUCUAGAUCACCCUAGAACUUUCACUGGAGAAACAGGUGGAGCUCAUUUCACCCCCCAGCCCCGAAGGUGGCAUGUGACCCACUUCUGACCAAUCAAAGCUUCAUACUCCCCUAAUUGCACGGAUGGAUAAUGACAAGCCUCCAGGAUUCCAUGCGUUUUUUCGUGUUUUUGUUUUGUUUUGUUUUCUGAGAUUUCUGAGCUAGACCUCCACGUAGUGACUUCUCAGUCUGAGGAUACACGGUCAGUCUCCUUCUAAGAAGUUCCUGGGCUUUGGGGCCCUCAUUGUGAAAUCAUAUUGAUUUGAGCAGAUCUAAAGCUGGGCAGGAGCUCUGACACGAUGGCUGGAAUACAAGCUUGUGCUUGGAAACCUGUUCUGCUGACUCCGUGUGUAUCAGUAAGCAUCAGCCAGGACUCAAGGAUUCAUAUUUCUCCUGUCACAGCUCUAAGUGUGUGCUGGACUUCGUGACCUGCUUCCAGGGCAUUGAAUGCCACAGAAGUAAUGGGAUGCUACUUCCAAGAUGAGGUUUCAAAAAGACAAUGGUUUACCCAAACCUGGAAGCAACCAAGAUGUCCUUCAGUAGGUGAAUGGAUAAGUGGUACAUCCAACAAUGGAAUCUUAUGCACCGCUAGAAGGAAGUGAGCUCUCAAACCAGGAAAAGACACGGAAGAAACAUAAAUGCAUGUCCCUAAGUGAAAGAAGGCCAUCUGGAAAGUCUACAUACUGCAUGAUUUCUACUAUAGGACGUCCUGGAAAAGACAAGAUGACAGAGUCAGUAAAAAGAUCAGUGGUUUCCAGGCAUUAGAGAGAGGGAGGGAUGAAUAAAACGAGCACAGAGGAUCCUUAAGGCAGUAAAACUAUUUUGUAUGAUACUACCUUGCCAUUAUACAUUGGUCAAAACCAAUAAAAUGUAUAAAACCAAGAGUGACAUCUAAUGGAAACUAGGGACUUUGGCUGAUAAUGACGUGUCAAUGUAGGGUUAUCAAUUGUAACAGUGUACCGCUCUGGGGAGGGAUAUCAACAGUGUGGGAGGUUGUGUGUGGACAGAGGUAGAGGGUAUGUGAAGACUCUGUGUCCUUUAUGCUCACUGUUGUUGGAACCCCACAACUGCUCUAAAAGUCUUCUUAUUUUUAAAUAGAUAUGGCUUUAUUUAUUUAUAAACAUGGCUUCUCUCUUGGGUGUCUUCUCUUGCUCUGUCAUUUGCUCACUAUGAGGAAAGCCAGCUGCCAUGUUGGGGAUAGACUUAUGGAGACGCCCAUGUUGCGGAGAACUGAUUUCUCCACCCAAUAGUCAGCAAAGUCCACCAAUGGCUAUAGG